AAGUCGUAACAAGGUUUCCGUAGGUGAACCUGCGGAAGGAUCAUUAACACGUAUCCAACGUUAAACCCCCUGUGAACCUUCACUGGUAAAUCAUCGCCGAACAGUUUUGAUUCAGAGACCUCUGGGAAGGGUGUACGGUAGUGCGAGGCAAUUGACCUGGCAUUCCUCUGCUUGUUAGUGUCUGAAAGUGUCACUAGCUAUGUACGGAUGGCGCAGUAACGAUCGCUGGAGGCCGACACGGCCGGCGACCAGGUCACUGGGCUACGGCCCCCCUGAUCACAACCUUUGCAUGAAAACGGGCCUGCGCUGAGGUGCGGCCACCCCUAAUGCUUGAACAACUGUUAACAAUGGAUAUCUUGGUUCUC
rnacentral:misc_RNA from 1 species